GGCCCGAGCGCGGCUCCGCUCGGCUCGGGGGCGGCUCCCGCGGAGCCCUCGGCCGCGGCCGGGCACGAUGUCGGCCGGGCUGGGGCCGUGGCUGCUGGGCUUGGCCUUGGCCUUGGGGCCGGCAGGGCUGUGGGCACAGUGGAGGCUGGAGGAGGCCGGCGGAGGGCACCGAGCUCCCGGGGAUUCCGUGCUCCUCUCCUGCCGCGGGUCCGGAUUCAACUUUGGGCUUUAUAUCGUUUACUGGUACCGUCAGGCACCCGGAGGCAGACCCGAGUGGGUGUCUUCCAUCAGCACCGAUUCCUCUGUCAGUCGAAACGGGACAGCAAUGGAGGGUCGAGCCUUGGUGUCGAGAGACAAUUCCCAGUCCAAGUCAUCCCUGUCCUUGUGGGCCCUGCAGCCCCGGGACUCUGCCCGAUAUUUCUGUGCUGUUCCCACGAGGACAGGAAACCCAGCUGAGCUUUAACAUAAACCUGCUGAGGCCUGGCACAGGGUCCAUGGCAUUUUGAGAUGGAGAAUUUUGAGGUGGUUCAGGGCUGUUCCCAAGGAAUCAGGGGCCAUCACUGUUCUCUGCAGGCAGUUUUGGCUUUUCUUCCAGAGCUUCUUUCCCCAGAAUGAUAAAUGGCAUAUCCUGAGUCCCAAAUACAAUGUUUUAUUCCAUAGAAGUGGUUCAAAGUGCUUCUGUCACCCAGCCAGCCUAGUCAUUCUGCCUGGCUCCAGCCCCUCUCUGCCUUCCUUUGAUCCCCUUCUUCUGUGGGGCACCCAAAGCACCUGAGCUUUAACAACACCUUUGCCUGCUUUCUUUGACCCUUUUGGGCCAUCUCCUGGCACCAGGAAGAGCAAAGUAGCGACGGAACAGGCCUGCUUUUGUUUCAGAUGCAUUUUGGGGUGAUGAGAUCCAACCAACAAGGUCUGCAGUGUGGUGGCCAGCAGGGAAUACUGGGACCUUACGAUGCACUUACAGCUCCAAUGCCUCCUACAUUUACGUGGCCUGGUAUCAGCAGCGUCCUGGUGGACCCCUGCAGUACUUGCUGCAGUGCCAGGGCCAUGGAGGCUCCUACAGCCACACAGCCCCUUUUGCCCACAGGAGGUUUUCCUGCCAGGCUGACAAGAGCUCUGGGACAGUGAGCAUCACUGGGCUGGAGCAGAGGGACAGUGCAUCCUAUUACUGCAGCCUGGAGGCACCACAGCGAGAGGCACCCGGGGUGUGCCUCAACAACAUCAGCUUCCUCCCCUGCUGCCUCCCCUCCUGCAUGUUCAGGUAGGACACAGGCCCUGCAAGGGGGGAGUCAGUGAGUGGGCUGUGCCUGCGGUCAGAGAAAUGGGGUCUCGUUGUGCCUGGGUGCUCCCAGUGGAAAGGAGGGGAGGGAAGGGCAGGGGAGAGGCAAGAGAAGAGCAUUUCAAUUGAAAGGGAGCUACAAUGACCAUCUAGUCCAACUGUCUGACUACCUUCAGAUUUGAACUAAAAUAAAAGCAUGUUUCAAA